rnacentral:rRNA from 1 species
CUAGCAUAUCAAUAAGCGGAGGAAAAGAAACCCAACAGGGAUUGCCCCAGUAACGGCGAGUGAAGCGGCAACAGCUCAAAUUUGAAAUCUGGCCCCUAGGGCCCGAGUUGUAAUUUGCAGAGGAUGCUUUUGGCAAGGCGCCGCCCGAGUUCCCUGGAACGGGACGCCGCAGAGGGUGAGAGCCCCGUCUGGCUGGACGCCGAGCCUUUGUAAAGCUCCUUCGACGAGUCGAGUAGUUUGGGAAUGCUGCUCUAAAUGGGAGGUAUAUGUCUUCUAAAGCUAAAUAUUGGCCAGAGACCGAUAGCGCACAAGUAGAGUGAUCGAAAGAUGAAAAGCACUUUGAAAAGAGGGUUAAACAGUACGUGAAAUUGUUGAAAGGGAAGCGCUCAUGACCAGACUUGGGCUUGGCGGAUCAUCCGGCGUUCUCGCCGGUGCACUUCGCCUCGCCCAGGCCAGCAUCAGUUCGCCCCGGGGGACAAAAGCUUCGGGAAUGUGGCUCCUCCGGGAGUGUUAUAGCCCGUUGCACAAUACCCUGGGGCGGACUGAGGUUCGCGCGUCCGCAAGGAUGCUGGCGUAAUGGUCAUCAGCGACCCGUCUUGAAACACGGACCAAGGAGUCGUCCUCGUAUGCGAGUGUUCGGGUGUCAAACCCCUACGCGUAAUGAAAGUGAACGCAGGUGAGAGCUUCGGCGCAUCAUCGACCGAUCCUGAUGUUCUCGGAUGGAUUUGAGUAAGAGCAUACGGGGCCGGACCCGAAAGAAGGUGAACUAUGCCUGUAUAGGGUGAAGCCAGAGGAAACUCUGGUGGAGGCUCGCAGCGGUUCUGACGUGCAAAUCGAUCGUCAAAUAUGGGCAUGG